UGGGGAAUUUUGGACAAUGGGGGCAACCCUGAUCCAGCAAUGCCGCGUGAGUGAAGAAGGCCCUCGGGUUGUAAAGCUCUUUUGUCAGGGAAGAAAAGGCUGUGGCUAAUAUCCACAGCUGCUGACGGUACCUGAAGAAUAAGCACCGGCUAACUACGUGCCAGCAGCCGCGGUAAUACGUAGGGUGCAAGCGUUAAUCGGAAUUACUGGGCGUAAAGCGUGCGCAGGCGGUUUUAUAAGUCUGAUGUGAAAUCCCCGGGCUCAACCUGGGAACUGCAUUGGAGACUGUAAGGCUAGAGUGUGUCAGAGGGGGGUAGAAUUCCACGUGUAGCAGUGAAAUGCGUAGAUAUGUGGAGGAAUACCGAUGGCGAAGGCAGCCCCCUGGGAUAACACUGACGCU
rnacentral:rRNA from 1 species